rnacentral:rRNA from 1 species
AAGGCAAUGAUGCAUAGCCGAGUUGAGAGACUGAUCGGCCACAUUGGGACUGAGACACGGCCCAAACUCCUACGGGAGGCAGCAGUAGGGAAUCUUCCACAAUGGACGAAAGUCUGAUGGAGCAACGCCGCGUGAGUGAAGAAGGGUUUCGGCUCGUAAAGCUCUGUUGGUAGUGAAGAAAGAUAGAGGUAGUAACUGGCCUUUAUUUGACGGUAAUUACUUAGAAAGUCACGGCUAACUACGUGCCAGCAGCCGCGGUAAUACGUAGGUGGCAAGCGUUGUCCGGAUUUAUUGGGCGUAAAGCGAGUGCAGGCGGUUCAAUAAGUCUGAUGUGAAAGCCUUCGGCUCAACCGGAGAAUUGCAUCAGAAACUGUUGAACUUGAGUGCAGAAGAGGAGAGUGGAACUCCAUGUGUA